rnacentral:rRNA from 1 species
AUUGAACGCUGGCGGCAUGCCUUACACAUGCAAGUCGAACGAUAGAAGAGGGCUUGCUCUCUUCGAAAGUGGCGCACGGGUGCGUAACGCGUAUGCAACCUACCUUAAUCAGGGGGAUAGCCCGAAGAAAUUCGGAUUAACACCGCAUAAAAUCACAGUACAGCAUUGUACAAUGAUCAAAUAUUUAUAGGAUUAAGAUGGGCAUGCGUGACAUUAGCUAGUUGGCGGGGUAACGGCCCACCAAGGCGACGAUGUCUAGGGGAUCUGAGAGGGUGACCCCCCACACUGGUACUGAGACACGGACCAGACUCCUACGGGAGGCAGCAGUAAGGAAUAUUGGUCAAUGGAGGCAACUCUGAACCAGCCAUGCCGCGUGCAGGACGACGGCCCUACGGGUUGUAAACUGCUUUUAUGCGGGAGCAAACCCCUCCUCGCGAGGAGGGUUGAGAGUACCGCACGAAUAAGGAUCGGCUAACUCCGUGCCAGCAGCCGCGGUAA